UACGAAGGUGGCAAGCGUUGUUCGGAUUUACUGGGCGUACAGGGAGCGUAGGCGGUUGGAUAAGCCCUCCGUGAAAUCUCCAGGCUUAACCUGGAAAGUGCAGAGGGGACUGUUCAGCUAGAGGAUGGGAGAGGAGCGCGGAAUUCCCGGUGUAGCGGUGAAAUUCGUAGAUAUCGAGAGGAACACCGGUGGCGAAGGCGGCGAUCUGGACGAUGACUGACGCUGAGACGCGAAAGCGUGGGGAGCAAACAGG
rnacentral:rRNA from 1 species